UACGGAGGGGACUAGCGUUGUUCGGAAUUACUGGGCGUAAAGCGCACUAGGCGGAUUGUAAGUCAGGGGUGAAAUCCCGAGGCUCAACCUCGGAACUGCCUUUGAUACUGCAAAUCUCGAGUCCGGAAGAGGUGAGUGGAAUUCCUAGUGUAGAGGUGAAAUUCGUAGAUAUUAGGAAGAACACCAGUGGCGAAGGCGGCUCACUGGUCCGGUACUGACGCUGAGGUGCGAAAGCGUGGGGAGCAAACAGG
rnacentral:rRNA from 1 species